rnacentral:lncRNA from 1 species
GUAGGGAAGGAGGGGAGUAGACAGAAGAGCGGCCUGGGGAAGAUGUGCACAUGGACUUCCGGGUGGAGACGGAUGUCUUCCAGGGGACCUAGAAAGAGAAGGAGGGGUGUUGGAGACAAGGAGGACUGUAAGAGAAGACGGCCCCAGAGGAGUGGUCACAAGUGUGUAUAUCUUCCUGCCUCGUGGUAACACCCACGGCAAAGGGGUCACUGAGAAACAAAUCGCAUGCGUAGAUGUCAGCCCGCUUCUGUCCUUGUCUACCUUUGUGCUUGUAAGCCACACCCAUGGCAUGUGGAAAUUCCUGGGUCAGGGAUUGAAUCUGAUCCAGAGCUGUGACCUGUGCCACAACUGCGGCAAUGCUGGAUCCUUAACCCACUGGGCUGGGCAGGGGAUCAAACCGGCACCUCCACAGAGACAAACUGGAUUAUUAACUCACUGCACCACAGUGGGAACUCUAUAAUACAUUGUCGAUUUAAAAAAUGUAUACAGUCAUUUUUUUUCCUUUUGUCUUUUUAGGGCUACACCGGCGGCAAGUUGGAAGUUCCCACUGGUGGAAGUUCCCAGGCUAGGGGUGGGAUCAGAGCUGCAGCUGUCAGCCUACACCCCAGCCACAGCAAUGCCAGAUCCAAGCUGGUCUGUGACCUAUACCACAGCUUACAGCAAUGCUGGGUCUGCAACCCAGUGAGCGAGGCCAGGGAUCAAAUCCAAGUCCUCAUAAAUACUAGUCAGGUUCAUUACCACUGAGCCACAGCAGGAACUCCAAAAAUGUAUACAGUCAAUUUUACUUUAUUUUAUUUAUUUUAUUUUAUUUUAUUUUAUUUUAUUUUAUUUUAUUUUAUUUUAUUUUAUUUUAUAUUUAUUGCUUUUUAGGCCCGCCCCGCCAGCAUAUGGAUGUUCCCAGGCUUGGGGUCAAAUUGGAGCUAUAGCUGCUGGGCGACACCACCGGCAGCAACAUCAGAUCCGAGCCAUGUCUGUGACCUACACCACAACUCACGGCAACACUGGAUCCUUAACCCACUGAGCAAGGCCAGGGAUCAAAUCUACAACCUCAUGGUUCCUUGUUGUAUUCGUUUCUGCUGCACCACGACAGGAACUCCCUGGUCAAUUAUAUUUUAAGGAAAUUCAAGCAUGAAAAAGUCUUUUAGGGUCAUGCUCGGUUCUCCUUAUUCUUUUGUACAGAUGCACGUUUUCCUCAGGUAUGUUUAAUUCAUUCUAAAGCACUUAUUUUAUUUUAUUAUUUUUUUUUCUUUUUAUUGCCACACCUGAGGCAUAUGGAAGUUCCUGGGCGAGGGGUCAAGUUGGAUCUGUACCUGCCAGCCUACACCACAGCCAUGGCCACACCAGAUUUGAGCCACAUCUGUGACCUAUGCUGCAGCUUAUGGCAAUGCCAGAUCC